rnacentral:rRNA from 1 species
UACGGAGGGUGCAAGCGUUGUCCGGAAUUAUUGGGCGUAAAGAGCUCGUAGGCGGUUUGUUGCGUCGGCUGUGAAAUCCCGAGGCUCAACCUCGGGUCUGCAGUCGAUACGAGCAAACUAGAGUGUUGCAGGGGAGACUGGAAUUCCUGGUGUAGCGGUGAAAUGCGCAGAUAUCAGGAGGAACACCGAUGGCUAAGGCGGCUCUCUAGUACGGUACUGACGCUGAGACGCGAAAGCGUGGGGAGCGAACAGG